rnacentral:rRNA from 1 species
GACGAACGCUGGCGGCGUGCUUAACACAUGCAAGUCGAACGAUGAACCCGGAGCUUGCUCCGGUGGAUUAGUGGCGAACGGGUGAGUAACACGUGAGUAACCUGCCCUUGACUCUGGGAUAACUGCGGGAAACUGUAGCUAAUACCGGAUAGGACCACUGCCUGCAUGGGUGGUGGUGGAAAGCUUUUGCGGUGUGGGAUGGGCCCGCGGCCUAUCAGCUUGUUGGUGGGGUGAUGGCCUACCAAGGCGACGACGGGUAGCCGGCCUGAGAGGGUGACCGGCCACACUGGGACUGAGAUACGGCCCAGACUCCUACGGGAGGCAGCAGUGGGGAAUAUUGCACAAUGGGCGCAAGCCUGAUGCAGCGACGCCGCGUGAGGGAUGACGGCCUUCGGGUUGUAAACCUCUUUCAGCACCGACGAAGCGCAAGUGACGGUAGGUGCAGAAGAAGGACCGGCCAACUACGUGCCAGCCGCCGCAGUAA